GACGAACGCUGGCGGCGUGCUUAACACAUGCAAGUCGAACGGAAAGGCCUGCAGCUUGCUGCGGGUACUCGAGUGGCGAACGGGUGAGUAACACGUGGGUGAUCUGCCUUGCACUUCGGGAUAAGCUUGGGAAACUGGGUCUAAUACCGGAUAGGACAGCUGUUUAGUGUCAGUUGUGGAAAGUUUUUUCGGUGCAAGAUGAGCUCGCGGCCUAUCAGCUUGUUGGUGGGGUAAUGGCCUACCAAGGCGUCGACGGGUAGCCGGCCUGAGAGGGUGUACGGCCACAUUGGGACUGAGAUACGGCCCAGACUCCUACGGGAGGCAGCAGUGGGGAAUAUUGCACAAUGGGCGGAAGCCUGAUGCAGCGACGCCGCGUGGGGGAUGAAGGCCUUCGGGUUGUAAACUCCUUUCGACAGGGACGAAGCGUAAGUGACGGUACCUGUAUAAGAAGCACCGGCUAACUACGUGCCAGCAGCCGCGGUAAUACGUAGGGUGCGAGCGUUGUCCGGAAUUACUGGGCGUAAAGAGCUCGUAGGUGGUUUGUCGCGUCGUCUGUGAAAUUCCGGGGCUUAACUCCGGGCGUGCAGGCGAUACGGGCUGACUUGAGUGCUGUAGGGGAGACUGGAAUUCCUGGUGUAGCGGUGAAAUGCGCAGAUAUCAGGAGGAACACCGAUGGCGAAGGCAGGUCUCUGGGCAGUAACUGACGCUGAGGAGCGAAAGCAUGGGUAGCGAACAGGAUUAGAUACCCUGGUAGUCCAUGCCGUAAACGGUGGGCGCUAGGUGUAGGGGGCUUCCACGUCUUCUGUGCCGUAGCUAACGCAUUAAGCGCCCCGCGCUGGGGAGUACGGCCGCCAAGCUA
rnacentral:rRNA from 1 species